rnacentral:rRNA from 1 species
GACGAACGCUGGCGGCGUGCCUAAUACAUGCAAGUUGAGCGAUGAAGAUUGGUGCUUGCACCAAUUUGAAGAGCAGCGAACGGGUGAGUAACGCGUGGGGAAUCUGCCUUUGAGCGGGGGACAACAUUUGGAAACGAAUGCUAAUACCGCAUAACAACUUUAAACAUAAGUUUUAAGUUUGAAAGGUGCAAUUGCAUCACUCAAAGAUGAUCCCGCGUUGUAUUAGCUAGUUGGUGAGGUAAAGGCUCACCAAGGCGAUGAUACAUAGCCGACCUGAGAGGGUGAUCGGCCACAUUGGGACUGAGACACGGCCCAAACUCCUACGGGAGGCAGCAGUAGGGAAUCUUCGGCAAUGGACGAAAGUCUGACCGAGCAACGCCGCGUGAGUGAAGAAGGUUUUCGGAUCGUAAAACUCUGUUGGUAGAGAAGAACGUUGGUGAGAGUGGAAAGCUCAUCAAGUGACGUUAACUACCCAGAAAGGGACGGCUAACUACGUG